rnacentral:rRNA from 1 species
UAGCGGCGGACGGGUGAGUAAUGCUUAGGAAUCUGCCUAUUAGUGGGGGACAACAUUCCGAAAGGAAUGCUAAUACCGCAUACGUCCUACGGGGGAAAGCAGGGGAUCUUCGGACCUUGCGCUAAUAGAUGAGCCUAAGUCGGAUUAGCUAGUUGGUGGGGUAAAGGCCUACCAAGGCGACGAUCUGUAGCGGGUCUGAGAGGAUGAUCCGCCACACUGGGACUGAGACACGGCCCAGACUCCUACGGGAGGCAGCAGUGGGGAAUAUUGGACAAUGGGCGGAAGCCUGAUCCAGCCAUGCCGCGUGUGUGAAGAAGGCCUUUUGGUUGUAAAGCACUUUAAGCGAGGAGGAGGAGCUUCUGGUUAAUACCCAGGAUGCUUGGACGUUACUCGCAGAAUAAGCACCGGCUAACUCUGUGCCAGCAGCCGCGGUAAUACAGAGGGUGCGAGCGUUAAUCGGAUUUACUGGGCGUAAAGCGUGCGUAGGCGGCUUUUUAAGUCGGAUGUGAAAUCCCUGAGCUUAACUUAGGAAUUGCAUUCGAUACUGGAAAGCUAGAGUAUGGGAGAGGAUGGUAGAAUUCCAGGUGUAGCGGUGAAAUGCGUAGAGAUCUGGAGGAAUACCGAUGGCGAAGGCAGCCAUCUGGCCUAAUACUGACGCUGAGGUACGAAAGCAUGGGGAGCAAACAGGAUUAGAUACCCUGGUAGUCCAUGCCGUAAACGAUGUCUACUAGCCGUUGGGGCCUUUGAGGCUUUAGUGGCGCAGCUAACGCGAUAAGUAGACCGCCUGGGGAGUACGGUCGCAAGACUAAAACUCAAAUGAAUUGACGGGGGCCCGCACAAGCGGUGGAGCAUGUGGUUUAAUUCGAUGCAACGCGAAGAACCUUACCUGGCCUUGACAUACUAAGAACUUUCCAGAGAUGGAUUGGUGCCUUCGGGAACUUAGAUACAGGUGCUGCAUGGCUGUCGUCAGCUCGUGUCGUGAGAUGUUGGGUUAAGUCCCGCAACGAGCGCAACCCUUUUCCUUAUUUGCCAGCGGGUUAAGCCGGGAACUUUAAGGAUACUGCCAGUGACAAACUGGAGGAAGGCGGGGACGACGUCAAGUCAUCAUGGCCCUUACGGCCAGGGCUACACACGUGCUACAAUGGUCGGUACAAAGGGUUGCUACCUCGCGAGAGGAUGCUAAUCUCAAAAAGCCGAUCGUAGUCCGGAUCGCAGUCUGCAACUCGACUGCGUGAAGUCGGAAUCGCUAGUAAUCGCGGAUC